rnacentral:misc_RNA from 1 species
AGGAGAAUCAGGGUACCAGUACCCAGG